GUGUUGUAUGAAAGGAGAGAAGGUUAGCACUCCCCUUGAUAAGGAUGGAAGAGGUCCUAGUGGCCUUUACAACACAUAUACGGUUAAGGCAUUGCCACCUACUCUGUGGCAUCUAACCAUGUUUAA
rnacentral:ncRNA from 1 species